rnacentral:rRNA from 1 species
GACGAACGCUGGCGGCGUGCUUAACACAUGCAAGUCGAGCGGUAAGGCCCUUUCGGGGGUACACGAGCGGCGAACGGGUGAGUAACACGUGGGUGACCUGCCCUCAGCUCUGGGAUAAGCCUGGGAAACCGGGUCUAAUACCGGAUAUGUACUCCAUGACGCAUGUUGUGGGGUGGAAAGCCUUGUGCGGCUGAGGAUGGGCCCGCGGCCUAUCAGCUUGUUGGUGGGGUGAUGGCCUACCAAGGCGACGACGGGUAGCCGGCCUGAGAGGGCGACCGGCCACACUGGGACUGAGACACGGCCCAGACUCCUACGGGAGCAGCAGUGGGGAAUCUUGCGCAAUGGGCGAAAGCCUGACGCAGCGACGCCGCGUGAGGGAUGACGGCC